rnacentral:rRNA from 2 species
GAAUGCUGACAUAAGUAACGAUAAAGCGGGUGAAAAGCCCGCUCGCCGGAAGACCAAGGGUUCCUGUCCAACGUUAAUCGGGGCAGGGUGAGUCGACCCCUAAGGCGAGGCCGAAAGGCGUAGUCGAUGGGAAACGGGUUAAUAUUCCCGUACUUGGUGUUACUGCGAAGGGGGGACGGAGAAGGCUAUGUUGGCCGGGCGACGGUUGUCCCGGUUUAAGCGUGUAGGUGUGUGUUCCAGGUAAAUCCGGUUCACUUUAACACUGAGGCGUGACGACGAGGCACUACGGUGCUGAAGCAACAAAUGCCCUGCUUCCAGGAAAAGCCUCUAAGCAUCAGGUAACAUCAAAUCGUACCCCAAACCGACACAGGUGGUCAGGUAGAGAAUACCAAGGCGCUUGAGAGAACUCGGGUGAAGGAACUAGGCAAAAUGGUGCCGUAACUUCGGGAGAAGGCACGCUGACACGUAGGUGAAGUGAUUUACUCAUGGAGCUGAAGUCAGUCGAAGAUACCAGCUGGCUGCAACUGUUUAUUAAAAACACAGCACUGUGCAAACACGAAAGUGGACGUAUACGGUGUGACGCCUGCCCGGUGCCGGAAGGUUAAUUGAUGGGGUCAGCGCAAGCGAAGCUCCUGAUCGAAGCCCCGGUAAACGGCGGCCGUAACUAUAACGGUCCUAAGGUAGCGAAAUUCCUUGUCGGGUAAGUUCCGACCUGCACGAAUGGCGUAAUGAUGGCCAGGCUGUCUCCACCCGAGACUCAGUGAAAUUGAACUCGCUGUGAAGAUGCAGUGUACCCGCGGCAAGACGGAAAGACCCCGUGAACCUUUACUAUAGCUUGACACUGAACAUUGAGCCUUGAUGUGUAGGAUAGGUGGGAGGCUUUGAAGUGUGGACGCCAGUCUGCAUGGAGCCGACCUUGAAAUACCACCCUUUAAUGUUUGAUGUUCUAACGUGGACCCGUUACCCGGGUUGCGGACAGUGUCUGGUGGGUAGUUUGACUGGGGCGGUCUCCUCCUAAAGAGUAACGGAGGAGCACGAAGGUUGGCUAAUCCUGGUCGGACAUCAGGAGGUUAGUGCAAUGGCAUAAGCCAGCUUGACUGCGAGCGUGACGGCGCGAGCAGGUGCGAAAGCAGGUCAUAGUGAUCCGGUGGUUCUGAAUGGAAGGGCCAUCGCUCAACGGAUAAAAGGUACUCCGGGGAUAACAGGCUGAUACCGCCCAAGAGUUCAUAUCGACGGCGGUGUUUGGCACCUCGAUGUCGGCUCAUCACAUCCUGGGGCUGAAGUAGGUCCCAAGGGUAUGGCUGUUCGCCAUUUAAAGUGGUACGCGAGCUGGGUUUAGAACGUCGUGAGACAGUUCGGUCCCUAUCUGCCGUGGGCGCUGGAGAACUGAGGGGGGCUGCUCCUAGUACGAGAGGACCGGAGUGGACGCAUCACUGGUGUUCGGGUUGUCAUGCCAAUGGCACUGCCCGGUAGCUAAAUGCGGAAGAGAUAAGUGCUGAAAGCAUCUAAGCACGAAACUUGCCCCGAGAUGAGUUCUCCCUGAGACUUAGAGUCUCCUGAAGGAACGUUGA